AGCGAACGCUGGCGGCAGGCCUAACACAUGCAAGUCGAACGGAUCCUUCGGGAUUAGUGGCGGACGGGUGAGUAACACGUGGGAACGUGCCCUUUGGUUCGGAACAACCCAGGGAAACUUGAGCUAAUACCGGAUGUGCCCUUCGGGGGAAAGAUUUAUCGCCAUUGGAGCGGCCCGCGUCUGAUUAGCUAGUUGGUGAGGUAACGGCCCACCAAGGCGACGAUCAGUAGCUGGUCUGAGAGGAUGACCAGCCACACUGGGACUGAGACACGGCCCAGACUCCUACGGGAGGCAGCAGUGGGGAAUCUUGCGCAAUGGGCGAAAGCCUGACGCAGCCAUGCCGCGUGAAUGAUGAAGGUCUUAGGAUUGUAAAAUUCUUUCAGCGGGGACGAUAAUGACGGUACCCGCAGAAGAAGCUCCGGCUAACUUCGUG
rnacentral:rRNA from 1 species